rnacentral:rRNA from 1 species
GUGGGGAAUAUUGGACAAUGGGCGAAAGCCUGAUCCAGCAAUGCCGCGUGAGUGAUGAAGGCCUUAGGGUUGUAAAGCUCUUUUACCCGGGAUGAUAAUGACAGUACCGGGAGAAUAAGCUCCGGCUAACUCCGUGCCAGCAGCCGCGGUAAUACGGAGGGAGCUAGCGUUGUUCGGAAUUACUGGGCGUAAAGCGCACGUAGGCGGCUUUGUAAGUUAGAGGUGAAAGCCUGGAGCUUAACUCCAGAACUGCCUUUAAGACUGCAUCGCAUGAAUCCAGGAGAGGUGAGUGGAAUUCCGAGUGUAGAGGUGAAAUUCGUAGAUAUUCGGAAGAACACCAGUGGCGAAGGCGGCUCACUGGACUGGUAUUGACGCUGAGGUGCGAAAGCGUGGGGAGCAAACAGGAUUAGAUACCCGUGUAGUCC